AUCCAGACUCCUACGGGAGGCAGCAGUGGGGGAUAUUGCACAAUGGGGGGAACCCUGAUGCAGCGACGCCGCGUGGGUGAGGAAGUACCCCGGUAUGUAAAGCCCUUUCGGCAGGGAAGAAAAUGACGGUACCUGGCGAAGAAGCCCCGGCUAACUACGUGCCAGCAGCCGCGGUAAUACGUAGGGGGCAAGCGUUAUCCGGAUUCACUGGGUGUAAAGGGAGCGUAGACGGCGAUGCAAGUCUGAAGUGAAAGGCGGGGGCCCAACCCCCGGACUGCUUUGGAAACUGUAUAGCUGGAGUGCAGGAGAGGUAAGUGGAAUUCCUAGUGUAGCGGUGAAAUGCGUAGAUAUUAGGAGGAACACCAGUGGCGAAGGCGGCUUACUGGACUGUAACUGACGUUGAGGCUCGAAAGCGUGGGGAGCAAACAGGAUUAGAUACCCCCGUA
rnacentral:rRNA from 1 species